rnacentral:ncRNA from 1 species
AAAAAGUUUUAUUCUUGCUUUUUUAUUUAUUAUUUAUUUAACUUACAUGAAUUUUUUUUUUUCAGUAAUUUAUUUUAUUAUUUGUUAUUAAUAAUUAUUUAUUGAUUUAAUUUUCUUAGAAAAAUUUUGUGCCAGCAUUCGCGGUUAUACAUUUUAUGAAAUUAAGUAAUUUUGGUUUUUAUAUUAUUAUUUGAUUAUUAAUUUUUUUAUUAGGGUGAAAUUUAUAUAAUUUUUUUCUUCUUCUAUUUUUAUUUUAAAAUUUUUUUAAAAACUAGGAUUAGAUACCCUAUUAUUUAUUUCUUAUUUUUUCUUGAUUAAUAUUAGUUAUGUUCUUUAAAAAUCAAAGAAUUUGGCGGUUAAUAAAAUCUUUUUAGAGGAACAUGUAUUUUAAUUGAUAAUCCACGAUAUUUUAUACCAAAUUUUUAUUUGUAUAUCUCUAUUGGUAGAGUAUUUUAUUGAAAAAUUUUCUUUUUCUAUUUUGGUUUAAUUUUAGGUCAAGGUGCAGUUUUAUUUUGGUUUUUAUGUGUUACAUUAUUUUUAAUAAAAUAAACUUUCUUUUUGAAUAAUUUUUAGGAUUUAAUAGUAAAUUUAAUUAAUUAAUUUUCUUGAAUAAAGUUCUAAUUAAUGUACAUAUCGCCCGUCACUCCUUUAUAUAGGAUAAGUCGUAACAAAGUAGUUUUACUGGAAAGUGAGUCUAGAUUUU